UGAAAAUUAUCAUGAGAUUAA
rnacentral:piRNA from 1 species